CGCGGAAAUACUGCGCUACAACACGUCUGCGGGGUCUGCGUGUCCAAAGCGUGCUCAUGCAGGGCCCCGGACUCCCCCGCUGGGUAGAGCGGCAGGUAGAGAGACAGGUAGAGCGGCAGGUAGAGAGACAGGUAGAGCGGCAGGUAGAGAGACAGGCAGAGCAGCAGGUAGAGAGACAGGUAGAGCGGCAUGAUGAGAGACAGGUAGAGCGGCAUGAUGAGAGACAGGUAGAGCAGCAGGUAGAGAGACAGGUAGAGCGGCAUGAUGAGAGACAGGUAGAGCAGCAGGUAGAGAGACAGGUAGAGCGGCAAGUAGAGAGACAGGUAGAGCGGCAGAUAGAGAGACAGGUAGAGCGGCAGGUAGAGAGACAGGUAGAGAGACAAGUUGGCGUUGUUGUUACAGAAACCCUGGGGUCCCUUGCUUGGCUGCAUGGUGAUUGGUUCUGGUGUGUUGUUGUGGGCGUGGCUGAAGCUGAGACUCAGGGUUCAGUUGCUU